rnacentral:lncRNA from 7 species
UUUUCCAGCACUGCAAUUUGGUAGUUGCUCAGCAGCUGGAAGGAUUGCUCCUUGCAGAGGUGACCUCCCUGCAGUUAGACUGCAUGUCAGUGUUUGAGGAAUAUACUUGAGCUGAUGGGCAUUUAAAUUCUGAGCAGUGGCUGUGGCAUCUGCUGGUGGUUGGCUACCAGAGCGCCCUUAAUGCUGCACCAUGCUGAGUGCCACUGGCAGAGCACCAAAGUCUCUAUGCUCAGCACAGUUGUUGACUCGCAUGGAUGAUAAGGUUCUGAAGACCCCACAGAUUGCUGGCUGCUUAAACAGUGCCAUUUUCCACGGCCUCCUGGCUUUUGCUGCCAAGCUGCAGCCAAGCCCAGCCUCCGUCCAGGCUGCCAGCGCUCGCAGAAGGAGCUGUUUACUUAGCUGGAGCUGUCAGUCAGCCAUGCAGAUACUUCCAGCCUCUCUGCUGUGUAAUUACAGGCAGGGACGCGUCCCCUCCGCACGAUGACAUGAUAGGAACCAAUGGUUCGUUUUCAAAAACACCAUAAUAUUAUUUUUGUUGUUGUUGUUCUGUUGAGGCACGGAAAGCAGGAGGACACGGGGAGGGAAAACGGCAAUUACGGAAGACCUCAGUGCUCCUAAUUAAAUGAUUGAUUUCUGUGAUUCUCUUCUCCCGCCCUCGAGUGGGGCGCAGACUCCUUCAGCAUCCGGAAUGCUUCUGCUUCUCAUCCCAUUCCAGCAGCACCGUAGGCACUGCCUUUCCAACCCAAGCAUGACCAGUGCAGUGAGCGGCCAGAAAGAGAGCAGGAACAGCACAGCACCGACUGUUCCACUCGUCUGUGUGUUUCCAGCAGUCCCUGCUGAUGGCUAUUUGCAAACCAUACCCUGAGUGUUCUCUUAUCGAUGCAACAUCAUUUAAAAGCCAGGCUUACCCACAUCGCUACGGCUCUGCCAGGACUUUCCUCUCCUGAAGUCAAAAGAGGGAAAAUUGCAAGUUACGAAAACGUUUUUUGAUCCGAAAGGAAUUAUUUUAUCUCAAAAAGCAGAACUGCAUAUUUUCAGUGGCUGACCUAAUCCAAGAUAAAUGAACACGCAGACAUUCCUUCUGUUUACUUCCACUUAUUAGCAUUCAGCAGAGGGUGUGAGGGUGAUAGCAUCUGACAACCACCAUCUCCAACUUUCUCUCUUUAGUUUGGUUGCUUGUAGUUCUGAAGUGCAAUAAACAAAACAGGGUCCACAGGGUCUGCUCCCAGGCAGCCACACCUGGAGCUGUGCUGCACACCUGCAGGAUGGCUCUGAGCCCUAGAGGAGAGGCAGCCAGCAUAGGGGAGGCUUUCUGCAAGCAGAAGGGAAGGAUGUAGCACACAAAUGCCUAACUGCCUUGUUGCAAGAAGCAGCUUUCCUCUCCUCAGGAGGAAGGGGGUUUGCACAGUAUCAAAUAAUCAGAGCAGUGAACAACGAUGCUUCAUUGAAUGCUCUAUUAACCUCCAGAGAUUUAUGGCUGGAGAGCUUUCAGAGACGGAAAUGUUGUCUAUGAGUGGAUGUCUGAUGGAUAUUUCUGCCGCUAAUUUUCUGAACCUGUGCAAAUUGUCACUUUCAGAAUACCCAGUGUUCAACAUCCCCACAAAGACUGCUCACCAUU